UGCCAACAAGAAGCAGCAGGAAGUUGUCUC
rnacentral:piRNA from 1 species